GUGGGGAAUAUUGGACAAUGGGCGAAAGCCUGAUCCAGCCAUGCCGCGUGUGUGAAGAAGGUCUUCGGAUUGUAAAGCACUUUAAGUUGGGAGGAAGGGCAGUAAGUUAAUACCUUGCUGUUUUGACGUUACCGACAGAAUAAGCACCGGCUAACUUCGUGCCAGCAGCCGCGGUAAUACGAAGGGUGCCAGCGUUAAUCGGAAUUACUGGGCGUAAAGCGCGCGUAGGUGGUUUUGUAAGUUGGAGGUGAAAUCCCCGGGCUCAACCUGGGAACUGCCUCCAAAACUGCAUGACUAGAGUACGGUAGAGGGUAGUGGAAUUUCCUGUGUAGCGGUGAAAUGCGUAGAUAUAGGAAGGAACACCAGUGGCGAAGGCAAUCCCCUGGACCUGUACUGACGCUCAUGCACGAAAGCGUGGGGAGCAAACAGGAUUAGAUACCCGAGUAGUCC
rnacentral:rRNA from 1 species